CUGGUGGGAAGGGAGCUGGCGAAACCCUUUUAGAGGGAGAGCAGGAAACCAGAAACAAACGCCCUCCUGCAAGAGAGCCAAGGGGAGAAUAUGCUGUCUUAAUGCCACAGAAUAUACAUAGAAAUGAAGUCUCCUGUAAUCCAACAGUGGAGGAGAACACGGCAACCCACUCCAGUACUCCUGCCUGGGAAACCCCAGGGGCCGAGGAGCCUGGAAAGCUGUGGUCCAUAGGGUCACACAGAGUCAGGCCGGACUGACGUGACUUAGCUCUCAAGCACGCACGUUCAAGGUAAAAGUGACGCUCAGUCAC
ensembl:lncRNA